GACGAACGCUGGCGGCGUGCUUAACACAUGCGAGUCGAACGAUGAAGAAGAGAAACGCGAACUUCGGUUCAAAUUUCACUUCGGAUUAGUGGCAGACGGGUGAGUAACGCGUGAGCAACCUACCUCUUACAAAGGGAUAGCCUCGGGAAACCGUGAUUAAUACCAUAUGACACAUUCAUAAGGCAUCUUAAGAAUGUUAAAGCUACGGCGGUAAGAGAUGGGCUCGCGUCCCAUUAGCUAGUUGGUGAGGUAACGGCCCACCAAGGCGACGAUGGGUAACCGGCCUGAGAGGGUGAACGGUCACAUUGGAACUGAGACACGGUCCAAACUCCUACGGGAGGCAGCAGUGGGGAAUAUUGCACAAUGGAGGGAACUCUGAUGCAGCGACGCCGCGUGAGCGAUGAAGGAAUUCGUUUCGUAAAGCUCUGUUCUAUGGGAAGAAAAGGACUGUACCAUAGGAGAAAGCCCCGGCUAAAUACGUG
rnacentral:rRNA from 1 species